GCGCCUGUAGCUCAGUGGUAGAGCAUUUCUCUUAUAAGGAAAGGGUCCUUGGUCCGAGUCCAAGCAGGCGCA
rfam:Microgenomates bacterium GW2011_GWC1_41_8 TT81_C0042, whole genome shotgun sequence.